rnacentral:sRNA from 1 species
GCUUCCACCGAAAAUUCAACGUGUAGAAUCCUCUGAAUCUCUGUCACUUCUCGCCAACACCAUUUUCUCAAAAUAUCGAUCGAUUGAUGACGUCAUCGGCGUGCCACGUGUCGGAGAGCUCAAGCUCAAUUGUUUGAAAGCCAUUGGUACAGCUUUUCAGCAGAAAAAGUCUUAAAAAUCUGAAAAUUUCAGCGAAUUUGGCGAAUUUAUCGGAUUCUAAUAAGCUUGCCACGCUGCAAAAUGGCCGACAAGGACUAAUUUCAGUGCUUCAAUGUACCACGAGACGGCCUGAAUAUUUCUUGGAGAGCUUUACUAUG